rnacentral:rRNA from 1 species
GCCCAUGAUCAUAUCAUCCAGAAUGCACCUGACCUCACCAGAUCCCAGAAGCUAAGCAGUGUUGAACCUGGAUAAUGUUAGGAUGGGGAACCACCAUGUAUAAAACAGGUAUAAUGCAUA